UCGGGUGUGGUGCAGGGUGCACGGCGACUUUCAAUGAAUGAGAAGAUGACAUGGGGCCGUAAACCGGGGUUCGGCUCCCCGCAUCCGGA